GCAUAACGCGAAGAACCUUACCUGGGCUUGAACUGUCGGUAUAGGGACCCGAAAGGGCGACGAUCCCGGGCAACCGGGAAGCCGAUAGAGGUGCUGCAUGGCUGUCGUCAGCUCGUGUCGUGAGAUGUUGGGUUAAGUCCCGCAACGAGCGCAACCCUUGUCUUUAGUUGCCAGCGAGUCAUGUCGGGCACUCUAAGGAGACUGCCUCGGAUAACGAGGAGGAAGGUGGGGAUGACGUCAAGUUAGCAUGGCCUUUAUGUCCAGGGCUACACACGUGCUACAAUGGGCGGCACAGAAGGACGCGAGACCGCGAGGUCAAGCCAACCCUUAAAACCGUUCUCAGUUCGGAUUGCAGGCUGCAAUUCGCCUGCAUGAAGUCGGAAUCGCUAGUAAUCGCGGAUCAGCUACGCCGCGGUGAAUACGUUCUCGGGUCUUGUACACACCG
rnacentral:rRNA from 1 species